UUCCGGUUGAUCCUGCCGGAAGCCAUUGCUAUCGGAGUCCGAUUUAGCCAUGCUAGUCGAGCGAGGUUAGCCCUCGCGGCGAACAGCUCAGUAACACGUGGCCAAGCUACCCUGCAGAGGGGGACAGCGUCGGGAAACUGACGGGAAUCCCCCAUACCGGUCUCACGCUGGAAUGCCGAGACCGACAAACGCUCCGGCGCUGCAGGAUGCGGCUGCGGCCGAUUAGGUAGUCGGUGGGGUAACGGGGCCACCGAGCCGAUAAUUGGUACGGGGUGUGAGAGCACGAGCCCGGAGACGGAAUCUGAGACAAGAUUCCAGNNCCUACGGGGCGCAGCAGGCGCGAAACCUUUACACUGCACGAAGGUGCGAUAAGGGGACUCCGAGUGCGAGGGCAUACAGUCCUCGCUAUUGUGUACCGUAGGGUGGUACACGACCAAGAGCUGGGCAAGACCGGUGCCAGCCGCCGCGGUAAUACCGGCAGCUCGAGUGAUGGCCGACUUUAUUGGGCCUAAAGCGUCCGUAGCUGGCCCUGCAAGUCCGUCGGGAAAUCCACUCGCCUAACGAGUGGGCGUCCGGCGGAAACUACAGGGCUUGGGACCGGAAGACUUGAGGGGUACGUCUGGGGUAGGAGUGAAAUCCUGUAAUCCUGGACGGACCGCCGAUGGCGAAAGCACCUCAAGACGACGGAUCCGACAGUGAGGGACGAAAGCUAGGGUCUCGAACCGGAUUAGAUACCCGGGUAGUCCUAGCCGUAAACGAUGUUCGCUAGAUGUGGCACAGGCUACGUGCCUGUGCUGUGUCGUAGGGAAGCCGAGAAGCGAACCGCCUGGGAAGUACGUCCGCAAGGAUGAAACUUAAAGGAAUUGGCGGGGGAGCACUACAACCGGAGGAGCCUGCGGUUUAAUUGGAUUCAACGCCGGG
rnacentral:rRNA from 1 species